AUUGAACGCUGGCGGCAGGCCUAACACAUGCAAGUCGAGCGGAUGAAGGAAACUUUCUCCUGUAUUCAGCUGCCGACGGGUGAGUAAUUACUAGGAAUCUACCUGGUCUUGAGGGAUAACAUCCGGUAGCGGACGCUAAUACCGCAUACGUCAUUAGUGUGAACGUGAGGGAUCUUCGGAGCACACGGUAUCAGCUGAGACUAGGUCGGAUUAGCUAGUUGGUAGGGUAACGGCUUACCAAGGCGACGAUCCGUAACUGAUCUGAGAGGGUGAUCAGUCACACUGGAACUGAGACACGGUCCAGACUCCUACGGGAGGCAGCAGUAGGGAAUAUUGGGCAAUGGGCGAAAGCCUGACGCAGCCACGCCGCGUGUGUGAAGAAGGUCUUCGGAUUGUAAAGCACUGUUAGUUGGGAAGAACGGCAGUAAGUGAAUACCUGGCUGUUUUGACGUUACCAACAGAAUAAGCACCGGCUAACUACGUG
rnacentral:rRNA from 1 species